UUUCGGUAGUUGACAGUUACAGAAAGAGACUUUUCAAAGGAUUCCUGUCUGUAUAUGAGUUAAGUAUGCUUGUUUUAUGGAGCCCUUCGAAAGGCAGGAAAAGUAAAAGAUGAUAACAGUUACAUGUCAAUCAAGGUGGUCACAUUUAAACUCAGCAAGAUUUAGAAUGCCCAACUCCUGGCUUCAAUGCAGGAUUGCUGUGUCUGUUUGCCCAAUCCUGACAAUCCAUAGUCUCAGUUAUAGGCAUUUUCUUCCUGGCUAAUAAUUUUUUUUCCUCAAAGCAUCAGUUUUAUCAACAACAGCAACAAUAAUAAAACCCCAUCCUAUGUCCUUCAGUUCUCUGGGGAGGAAGAUGGUCUCUCAGAACGUCUUGGGCUCCAUCAGAGAUGAAGAUGACGCUUGCAUACUGAAUCUGGAUUUCAACCACGGUUUGAUUACUGAGCAUUAAUCAGGUAAGAAUAUCAAGAAAGUCAAGCAGCUCAUUCUGUCCUGCCUGAGUCAUUUAACUUUCCAAGGGGGAGGAUUGGUAGGAAGAUGCAGUUUACUGAAUAACAUCCAUGCAGCAGGAAGAGAAACAAGAAGGGGAAAUCGUGAACAAACUGU